rnacentral:lncRNA from 1 species
GGCGAGGAGAGGAGAGCAAGGAUGGAGGGGAGCGCAGAAGGUGAGAGACCAGCAUGGAGGCCGUUGCAGAAACCAGGAAUAAUAUUCCCAUUUUACAGAUAAGGAAAUCAAGGCACAGAAAAUUAAUGACAUUUGCCAAAGGUGCGCAUAACUGGCUGGAACAGCGCCCUUCGGGCAGGAGGUAUGAAAAAAUAACUGCCACGAGACCAGACUGCAAGCAUGGCGCACUGACACGGCACCGACCAGUCCACGUCGACUCCAAGAACUCAAAGGUCGCCACCACAGCAUGGCUGAUGAGUGGUGUGUGUCCACGUUCAGGAUCCAAACCCACAAACUCGGACUGCCAAAGUGGAGCACACGAACCUAACCACUACGCCACGGGGCUGGCCCUUUUUCUUCAUUUUUUAUGUGGGCCACCGCCACGGAAUGGCCGCUAACAGACAAGUGGUAACAAUGCGUAUCCACUGACCUCCUCUUCUGAUGACCGAUGAUUGCUGAAUCCGUCCUAUGUCAGGCUUCUCCUCGGGGCUCAUUUCCAAGUGUCCAGUGAGAGGACAGGCCUCAGCGGCCGCCAGGUUUCCCAGCCCUCUGGAGGGGUGCAUUCCACGCUGCCUGCUGCUCCUCGAUGGAGAAAUGCGAGGUGGAGGGAAAACAUCCGAGGCUGCCAGCCCGCCUCCCCUCCACCGGCAGUCUGCUCAGGCCUGUGUCCCAGCGCCAAGCAGUCCAUACAGAC